AUCAAGCGCGAGAAGGGCGUUUGGUGGAUGCCUUGGCAGUAAGAGGCGAUGAAGGACGUGAUACUCUGCGAUAAGCCAUGAGGAGCUGAGAAUAAGCUGUGAUCCAUGGAUUUCCGAAUGGGGCAACCCACCUGACAGUUUGUUAUAAUUGCCUUUUGGCAGUUUAUAACGGGCUGAAACAGGUACUUUUUGACUGAAUACAUAGGUCUUAAAGAGCAAACCCGGAGAACUGAAACAUCUAAGUACCCGGAGGAAAGGACAGCAAUAGCGACUCCCCUAGUAGCGGCGAGCGAACGGGGACCAGCCGAGCCCAAUAAGUGACCAGAAUGCGUUGGGAAGCGCAGCCAUAGCGGGUGACAGCCCCGUAUGGGAAGCUUUGAGGGACGUAUCAAGUAGGGCGGAACACGUGAAAUUCUGUCUGAAGAUCGGAGGACCACCUUCGAAGGCUAAGUACUCCUUACUGACCGAUAGCGAACCAGUACCGUGAGGGAAAGGUGAAAAGCACCCCGACGAGGGGAGUGAAACAGUACCUGAAACCGAACGCCUACAAUCAGUCGGAGGGGCAUAAGCCCUGACGGCGUACCUUUUGUAUAAUGGGUCAUCGACUUGGUCUAUCUAGCAAGCUUAAGCCGUUAGGUGUAGGCGCAGCGAAAGCGAGUCUUAAUAGGGCGUUGAGUUAGAUGGAUCAGACCCGAAACCGAGUGAUCUAGGCAUGACCAGGAUGAAGGUUGGGUAACACCAACUGGAGGUCCGAACCCACACCUGUUGAAAAAGGUCGGGAUGAGUUGUGCCUAGGGGUGAAAGGCCAAUCAAACUCGGAGAUAGCUGGUUCUCUGCGAAAUCUAUUUAGGUAGAGCGUCAUCCGAAUACCCUCGGGGGUAGAGCACUGGAUGGGUAAUGGGGCCCCACAGGCUUACUGAUCCUAACCAAACUCCGAAUACCGAGGAGUACUAGAUGGCAGACAGACGGCGGAUGCUAACGUCCGUCGUCGAGAGGGAAACAACCCUGACCUCCGGCUAAGGCCCCCAAUUCAUGGCUAAGUGGGAAAGCAGGUGGGACGACCAAAACAACCAGGAGGUUGGCUUAGAAGCAGCCAUCCUUUAAAGAUAGCGUAACAGCUCACUGGUCUAAAUAAGUUGUCCUGCGGCGAAGAUGUAACGGGGCUCAAGCCAUGAGCCGAAGCCGAGGAUGCCGUAAGGCAUGGUAGCAGAGCGUAGUGUGACAUGGUUUCUAUCCUCUUUAGUGUCCUUCGGGACACCAUGGAGGAGAAGAAAUCUUCGAUGAAGCGGGCCUGUGAGGGAUCCCGUGGAGAGAUCACUAGUGAGAAUGAUGACAUGAGUAGCGAUAAAGGGUGUGAGAGACACCCUCGCCGAAAGUCCAAGGGUUCCUGCUUAAAGCUAAUCUGAGCAGGGUAAGCCGACCCCUAAGGCGAGGCCGAAAGGCGUAGUCGAUGGGAACCAGGUUAAUAUUCCUGGGCCAGAUGGAAGUGACGGAUCUCAAAGGUUGUUCGUUCUUAUCGGAUUGAACGGGCCGCUCAGAGGUUCCUGGAAAUAGCUCCAUCGCUAGAUCGUACCCGAAACCGACACAGGUGGACUGGUAGAGAAUACCAAGGCGCUUGAGAGAACUAUGUUGAAGGAACUCGGCAAAAUACCUCCGUAAGUUCGCGAGAAGGAGGCCCGGUUUCUAGGCAACUAGAGGCUGGGGGCACAAACCAGGGGGUGGCGACUGUUUACUAAAAACACAGGGCUCUGCGAAGUCGCAAGACGACGUAUAGGGUCUGACGCCUGCCCGGUGCCUGAAGGUUAAAAGGAGGGGUGAGAGCUCUGAAUUGAAGCCCAGGUAAACGGCGGCCGUAACUAUAACGGUCCUAAGGUAGCGAAAUUCCUUGUCGGGUAAGUUCCGACCUGCACGAAUGGCGUAACGACUUCCCCGCUGUCUCCAACAUAGACUCAGCGAAAUUGAAUUGCCUGUCAAGAUGCAGGCUUCCCGCGGUUAGACGGAAAGACCCCGUGCACCUUUACUAUAGCUUCGCACUGGCAUCAGGAUUGUGAUGUGCAGGAUAGGUGGUAGGCUUUGAAGCAGGGACGCUAGUCCCUGUGGAGCCUCCCUUGAGAUACCACCCUUCGCACUCUUGAUGUCUAACCGCGGCCCGUUAUCCGGGUCCGGGACCCUGCGUGGUGGGUAGUUUGACUGGGGCGGUCGCCUCCUAAAGCGUAACGGAGGCGCGCGAAGGUUGGCUCAGAGCGGUCGGAAAUCGCUCGUUGAGUGCAAUGGCAGAAGCCAGCCUGACUGCGAGACUGACAAGUCGAGCAGAGUCGAAAGACGGCCAUAGUGAUCCGGUGGUCCCAAGUGGGAGGGCCAUCGCUCAACGGAUAAAAGGUACGCCGGGGAUAACAGGCUGAUACUGCCCAAGAGUCCAUAUCGACGGCAGUGUUUGGCACCUCGAUGUCGGCUCAUCUCAUCCUGGGGCUGGAGCAGGUCCCAAGGGUACGGCUGUUCGCCGUUUAAAGAGGUACGUGAGCUGGGUUUAGAACGUCGUGAGACAGUUCGGUCCCUAUCUGCCGUGGGUGUAGGAUACUUGAGAGGAGUUGCCCCUAGUACGAGAGGACCGGGGUGAACGAACCACUGGUGGACCUGUUGUGGCGCCAGCCGCAGUGCAGGGUAGCUAUGUUCGGACAGGAUAACCGCUGAAGGCAUCUAAGCGGGAAGCCCCCCUCAAAACAAGGUAUCCCUGAGGGCCGUGGUAGACCACCACGUCGAUAGGCCGGAGAUGUAAGCGCAGCAAUGCGUUCAGUUGACCGGUACUAAUGGCCCGAUAGGCUUGAUUUGAUCCAGUAAUAGCAAGACUGUUACAGAACAAAUCAAAAGCAUACACAAAACACAGAGUACUGACUUGGAAACCAAUCCCCAACCGGAGCAAGACGGUUGGAGAUACCCGUCCUCAACUAGCCGAUAGGCGAUAGGACAAAAAAUGUCCUCAAGUAGCCCUCCGGGCGGUAGGACAAACAUAACGAGGCUUUUUCCCGGUUUGGUGGCCAUAGCACAAGCGAAACACCCGGUCCCAUCCCGAACCCGGCCGUUAAGCGCUGUCGCGCCAAUGGUACUGCGUCUCAAGACGUGGGAGAGUAGGUCGCUGCCAAACCUGGUAAAAGCCUCGUAAAACUCAUGUAUCUCUCAAAAACGAUCAAACCCUAUUCCCAUAAAAUAGGCGUCAAAAAACAGCGCAUAAACAUGCGCCUAAAAUAGUCCGAAAACCAAUACCAAUCAGGACUAUACACCGUCGCGGGAUGGAGCAGCCCGGUAGCUCGUCAGGCUCAUAACCUGAAGGUCGUAGGUUCAAAUCCUACUCCCGCAACCAAAAAUUCUAUACUUUGCGUAACCUCCUGUUCAAGGGAGGUUUUUUGCUGUCCGGACUUCCCCGCACCCCCAAGGCUCAGCGCCAGGAUGCCCGCAAGUGCGACGUGAAGGUGGACAGACAUCCGCCCAGUGGUGGGGUCUGGAUGCAGCACGCUCUUCUCGAUCAGGCCACGGAUCGC
rnacentral:rRNA from 1 species